rnacentral:misc_RNA from 1 species
GGAAUAUUGGACAAUGGGCGAAAGCCUGAUCCAGCAAUGCCGCGUGAGUGAUGAAGGCCUUAGGGUUGUAAAGCUCUUUUACCCGGGAUGAUAAUGACAGUACCGGGAGAAUAAGCUCCGGCUAACUCCGUGCCAGCAGCCGCGGUAAUACGGAGGGAGCUAGCGUUGUUCGGAAUUACUGGGCGUAAAGCGCGCGUAGGCGGCUGCUCAAGUCAGAGGUGAAAGCCCGGGGCUCAACCCCGGAACUGCCUUUGAAACUAGGUAGCUAGAAUCUUGGAGAGGUCAGUGGAAUUCCGAGUGUAGAGGUGAAAUUCGUAGAUAUUCGGAAGAACACCAGUGGCGAAGGCGACUGACUGGACAAGUAUUGACGCUGAGGUGCGAAAGCGUGGGGAGCAAACAGGA